rnacentral:rRNA from 1 species
UACGUAGGGUGCGAGCGUUAAUCGGAAUUACUGGGCGUAAAGAGUGCGCAGGCGGCGUUGCAAGUCGGGUGUGAAAUCCCCGAGCUUAACUUGGGAAUUGCGCUCGAAACUACGAUGCUAGAGUGUGGCAGAGGAAGGUGGAAUUCCACGUGUAGCGGUGAAAUGCGUAGAGAUGUGGAGGAACACCGAUGGCGAAGGCAGCCUUCUGGGCCAACACUGACGCUCAUGCACGAAAGCGUGGGGAGCAAACAGG